UGGUGGAGUGAUUUGUCUGCUUAAUUGCGGUAACGAACGAGACCUUAACCUGCUAAAUAGCCAGGCUAGCUUUGGCUGGUCGCCGGCUUCUUAGAGGGACUAUCGGCUCAAGCCGAUGGAAGUUUGAGGCAAUAACG
rnacentral:rRNA from 1 species